GAUGAACGCUGGCGGCGUGCCUAAUACAUACAAGUCGAGCGAACGGACGAGAAGCUUGCUUCUCUGAUGUUAGCGGCGGACGGGUGAGUAACACGUGGAUAACCUACCUAUAAGACUGGGAUAACUUCGGGAAACCGGAGCUAAUACCGGAUAAUAUUUUGAACCGCAUGGUUCAAAAGUAAAAGACGGUCUUGCUGUCACUUAUAGAUGGAUCCGCGCUGCAUUAGCUAGUUGGUAAGGUAACGGCUUACCAAGGCAACGAUGCAUAGCCGACCUGAGAGGGUGAUCGGCCACACUGGAACUGAGACACGGUCCAGACUCCUACGGGAGGCAGCAGUAGGGAAUCUUCCGCAAUGGGCGAAAGCCUGACGGAGCAACGCCGCGUGAGUGAUGAAGGUCUUCGGAUCGUAAAACUCUGUUAUUAGGGAAGAAUAUAUGUGUAAGUAACUGUGCACAUCUUGACGGUACCUAAUCAGAAAGCCACGGCUAACUACGUGCCAGCAGCCGCGGUAAUACGUAGGUGGCAAGCGUUAUCCGGAAUUAUUGGGCGUAAAGCGCGCGUAGGCGGUUUUUUAAGUCUGAUGUGAAAGCCCACGGCUCAACCGUGGAGGGUCAUUGGAAACUGGAAAACUUGAGUGCAGAAGAGGAAAGUGGAAUUCCAUGUGUAGCGGUGAAAUGCGCAGAGAUAUGGAGGAACACCAGUGGCGAAGGCGACUUUCUGGUCUGUAACUGACGCUGAUGUGCGAAAGCGUGGGGAUCAAACAGGAUUAGAUACCCUGGUAGUCCACGCCGUAAACGAUGAGUGCUAAGUGUUAGGGGGUUUCCGCCCCUUAGUGCUGCAGCUAACGCAUUAAGCACUCCGCCUGGGGAGUACGACCGCAAGGUUGAAACUCAAAGGAAUUGACGGGGACCCGCACAAGCGGUGGAGCAUGUGGUUUAAUUCGAAGCAACGCGAAGAACCUUACCAAAUCUUGACAUCCUUUGACAACUCUAGAGAUAGAGCCUUCCCCUUCGGGGGACAAAGUGACAGGUGGUGCAUGGUUGUCGUCAGCUCGUGUCGUGAGAUGUUGGGUUAAGUCCCGCAACGAGCGCAACCCUUAAGCUUAGUUGCCAUCAUUAAGUUGGGCACUCUAAGUUGACUGCCGGUGACAAACCGGAGGAAGGUGGGGAUGACGUCAAAUCAUCAUGCCCCUUAUGAUUUGGGCUACACACGUGCUACAAUGGACAAUACAAAGGGCAGCGAAACCGCGAGGUCAAGCAAAUCCCAUAAAGUUGUUCUCAGUUCGGAUUGUAGUCUGCAACUCGACUACAUGAAGCUGGAAUCGCUAGUAAUCGUAGAUCAGCAUGCUACGGUGAAUACGUUCCCGGGUCU
rnacentral:rRNA from 1 species